GGGGAUGUGGUCUAGAGGUAUGAUUUUCCUUUCGCAUAGGAAAGGUCCGGGGUUCAAUUCCCCGCGUCUCCA
rnacentral:tRNA from 1 species